UACAGAGGUCUCAAGCGUUGUUCGGAUUCAUUGGGCGUAAAGGGUGCGUAGGUGGCGCGCUAAGUCAGGUGUGAAAUCUCGGAGCUUAACUCCGAAACUGCAUUUGAUACUGGUGUGCUUGAGGACUGGAGAGGAGACUGGAAUUCACGGUGUAGCAGUGAAAUGCGUAGAUAUCGUGAGGAAGACCAGUGGCGAAGGCGGGUCUCUGGACAGUUCCUGACACUGAGGCACGAAGGCCCAGGGGAGCAAAACGGG
rnacentral:rRNA from 1 species